UAUCAUUUACCUCAUGUUGUAAGAAUAAAUGUAGGGGUGUUGACUUCUAUUUUGCAGAAACAGAUCCUCACAGAAAUAUGUAAAGAAAUGUUGCCACAACAAAUUUUUGGCUUGUAAAAAAUUGGUGUUUAAAGACAUCAGGACUCGAAUGCAACUGCUACAUCUAUACCUCCUUCAGUUAUACCUCUGCCAUCAGUGCAAUAAAUUAAUUAGGGACGUGGAUGAGUGAAAUGACAGAUGGAGAAGAAAUGACAUGUAGUCCUCUGUGUGCACGCAUUUAGACUUUGCAGAACAGAAUUAAGCUAUGGCACUACUGGUGUUCUAUACCUACACGUAUCAAACAACAACUGUAAUAAAAGUACACAUCAAUGGAAAAGAGUAGUAGCCGUCUUACCAUAUGCAGA